UGCUGACAGGGUGCAGGAAGUUAACAAGAUGGCCCCAAGUCCUUUCAGCCUCCUUCACAGAGCUCUGUGCAGACCACAGUUUGUUGGAGUUCUCCAAACAGUCUUGUUCAUGCUCCUGAAUGUGCUGGCUGACCUGGAGCCAAGACCAGUGGUAGAAUGAAUAUACCUGAUGCCAUCUAUGAAGAAAAUCUUGUACUUCUCACUUUAUAGAAGAUACCGAAGCUCAAAGAGCUCAGGCCGCUGCAAGAAGAUGCAAAUGAGUAAGAACCCAUUACUUGAAAUUUGAAGGAACAUUAAAAGCCUGGCAUGGAAAGCCUGGAGGAGCCAACCCUGCCAGGGAGUAAGGAGCUUGUCUGCGCAGGGGCCCCUCCCAGCAGCACCAUCUGUCGCAUGCUCAGAGCCUCCUCAGCACCUGCUCCUGCUCCAAGGCCACCAAAGUGAUUGUCAGAAAACAACAGAGUAACUCCCCCUGCACACAACUCUCAAGGUCUCCCCAUUGCCUACAGUAAAGAAAGAAAAAGAAAAAAGGCCAAGCUCUCUGGCAUGACACAUAUGCUACGUAGUCCACUCCAGCCUGAGUCUCACCUCCUCG